GAAUUCGCCCUUAGAGUUUGAUCCUGGCUCAGGACGAACGCUGGCGGCGCGCCUAACACAUGCAAGUCGAACGAGCGAGAGAGAGCUUGCUUUCUCGAGCGAGUGGCGAACGGGUGAGUAACGCGUGAGGAACCUGCCUCAAAGAGGGGGACAACAGUUGGAAACGACUGCUAAUACCGCAUAAGCCCACGACCCGGCAUCGGGUUGAGGGAAAAGGAGCAAUCCGCUUUGAGAUGGCCUCGCGUCCGAUUAGCUAGUUGGUGAGGUAACGGCCCACCAAGGCGACGAUCGGUAGCCGGACUGAGAGGUUGAACGGCCACAUUGGGACUGAGACACGGCCCAGACUCCUACGGGAGGCAGCAGUGGGGAAUAUUGCACAAUGGGGGAAACCCUGAUGCAGCGACGCCGCGUGGAGGAGGAAGGUCUUCGGAUUGUAAACUCCUGUUGUUGAGGAAGAUAAUGACGGUACUCAACAAGGAAGUGACGGCUAACUACGUGCCAGCAGCCGCGGUAAAACGUAGGUCACAAGCGUUGUCCGGAAUUACUGGGUGUAAAGGGAGCGCAGGCGGGAAGACAAGUUGGAAGUGAAAUCCAUGGGCUCAACCCAUGAACUGCUUUCAAAACUGUUUUUCUUGAGUAGUGCAGAGGUAGGCGGAAUUCCCGGUGUAGCGGUGGAAUGCGUAGAUAUCGGGAGGAACACCAGUGGCGAAGGCGGCCUACUGGGCACCAACUGACGCUGAGGCUCGAAAGUGUGGGUAGCAAACAGGAUUAGAUACCCUGGUAGUCCACACUGUAAACGAUGAUUACCAGGUGUUGGAGGAUGACCCCUUCAGAGCGGCAGUUAAACACAAUAAGUAAUCCACCUGGGGGAGUACGACCGCAAGGUUGAAAUUCAAAGGAAUUGACGGGGGCCCGCACAAGCAGUGGAGUAUGUGGUUUAAUUCGACGCAACGCGAAGAACCUUACCAAGUCUUGACAUCCUGCGACGGUGCUGGAAACAGUACUUUCCUUCGGGACGCAGAGACAGGUGGUGCAUGGAAAUCGUCAACUCGUGUCGUGAGAUGUUGGGUUAAGUCCCGCAACGAGCGCAACCCUUAUGGUCAGUUACUACGCAAGAGGACUCUGGCCAGACUGCCGUUGACAAAACGGAGGAAGGUGGGGAUGACGUCAAAUCAUCAUGCCCUUUAUGACUUGGGCUACACACGUACUACAAUGGCGUUAAACAAAGAGAAGCAAGACCGCGAGGUGGAGCAAAACUCAGAAACAACGUCCCAGAUGGGACUGCAGGCUGCAACUCGCCUGCACGAAGUCGGAAUUGCUAGUAAUCGCAGAUCAGCAUGCUGCGCUGAAAAGGUUCCCGGGCCUUGCACUCACCGCCCGUCA
rnacentral:rRNA from 1 species